rnacentral:miRNA from 1 species
UGUGACUUUAAGGGAAAUGGCG